GUUUUGAGUCGAUUCAUUCUUCAUCUGAUAAUGUUUUGAAUCGAUUCGAAGUUCUUGACCUUCGUGUCAAUCGUCAUAGUUUUAAGAUUUUUCAUUGUUACACUAAUUGUAUCGAUUCACACAUCAUGUGAUUCCAUUCAAGUUUCUUUUUUAAGUGUUAUUUUGAGGCAAUCUUGCUCCUUUCACUCACACAUAUAUAUACCUUCACUUACUCAUUUUCUCACUCAUAGAAUUAGUUUUCAAAAACACUCUAAAGUCUCUAGACUCUCUUUUUCUACAAACUUCUUCAGAUUAAACAUUUUUUCUAAGAACUAUUGUAGGAUUUGAGAUCUAGAUUGUUAGGGUGUUGUAGUGUAAUUGUAAUAUUAUUUUCUUUCAAGGAUCUUGGUGGAGCAAUAAGGAUAUGAAGGAAAAGGAGGUACUUUUUACAUCCAAGGGUAAUUGUGGGGGUUGUUUCUCAAACUUUCAAGGUUCAAGGGGAUCGAAGUGGAGGCAUAGCAAAGAAUAUUUCUCAGAGUAGAAGAUUGAAGGAUUGCAUGAAAGCAUGAGGUUCAAAGACCUUGUGGAUUGUUUGAUUUCAAGAAAGCUUGAAGACUUGAUUUUUUGUGUGAUUGCUUAGCAUAAAAGAUUAGGAAUCGAAGGAAUCUUUGCAAUUAUACAUUUGUAAAUAUUUUCAACAUCAUAGUGGAAAUCCGUAGAAGAGGUGUUUUCUUCUACGAAGAUUGAAUAUACCCUUAGAAAGGAC
rnacentral:lncRNA from 1 species